CUCCUUGGACUUCGGUUCAGGGAGGAAAGCGAUACCGAGGGUAUCGCGCUCUUGGCUGGGCUCAUGUCCUAUCAGCUUGUUGGUGAGGUAACGGCUCACCAAGGCUUCGACGGGUAGCUGGUCUGAGAGGACGAUCAGCCACACUGGCACUGCGACACGGGCCAGACUCCUACGGGAGGCAGCAGUAAGGAAUAUUGCGCAAUGGGCGAAAGCCUGACGCAGCGACGCCGCGUGGGGGAUGAAGGUCUUCGGAUUGUAAACCCCUUUCGGGAGGGAAGAUGGAAUGGGGUAACCCAUUCGGACGGUACCUCCAGAAGCAGCCACGGCUAACUUCGUGCCAGCAGCCGCGGUAAUACGAAGGUGGCAAGCGUUAUUCGGAUUUACUGGGCGUACAGGGAGCGUAGGCGGUUCGGUAAGCCCUUUGUGAAAUCUCCAGGCUUAACCUGGAACAGUCGGAGGGGACUGCCGGGCUAGAGGACGGGAGAAGAGCGCGGAAUUCC
rnacentral:rRNA from 1 species